rnacentral:rRNA from 1 species
AAUGAACGCUGGCGGCAUGCCUAACACAUGCAAGUCGAACGAAGUCCUUCGGGGCUUAGUGGCGCACGGGUGCGUAACGCGUGGGAAUCUGCCCCUUGGUUCGGAAUAACAGUUGGAAACGACUGCUAAUACCGGAUGAUGACGUAAGUCCAAAGAUUUAUCGCCGAGGGCUGAGCCCGCGUAGGAUUAGGUAGUUGGUGUGGUAAAGGCGCACCAAGCCGACGAUCCUUAGCUGGUCUGAGAGGAUGAUCAGCCACACUGGGACUGAGACACGGCCCAGACUCCUACGGGAGGCAGCAGUGGGGAAUAUUGGACAAUGGGCGAAAGCCUGAUCCAGCAAUGCCGCGUGAGUGAUGAAGGCCUUAGGGUUGUAAAGCUCUUUUACCCGGGAUGAUAAUGACAGUACCGGGAGAAUAAGCUCCGGCUAACUCCGUG